GUGCCCGUAGCUCAGCUGGAUAGAGUGUCUGACUACGAAUCAGAAGGUCGGGGGUUCGAAUCCCUCCGGGCACGCCA
rnacentral:tRNA from 3 species